UGAGUAAGAAAUGUAACGUCACAGAGAACAUGAGCAUGGACCCUGUGGAAGGAUGACAUGGAAAUUCACAAAGCAUUCCAUAUUUAA
rnacentral:snRNA from 1 species